CCCCUCUCAGGGUCACAUUUGGAGAGUUUCCAGUGCUCUACCAUUCUCGAUUAUGAGAGGGAGAGUCUCGCAGAGGCAAAUUCAUUUCAUUCUUAGCUUGGGCAGUGGCUAGAGAGUGGAAGGCAAUCUGCUACAAGU